rnacentral:tRNA from 1 species
UCCGCGGUAGCUCAAUUGGCAGAGCAGUGGACUGUUAAUCCAUUGGUUGUAGGUUCGAGUCCUACCCGCGGAGCCG